GGUGACAAGAGAGUUUGUGAGGAGAAAAUAUGCUUAAGCAAAAUAUUCAACAAAAGACUUAAUAAUGGAAGAUGAUUCAACAAAGUUGCCCUGUUUAUAGUUGCCAGUUCCUGGUAGAACAAGCUAAGAGGAUCCUGUUGAGGAAAGCUCCACAGAGUCAGCCUUCAAACAUAUUUUAUCACUGAUUUGUCUAAUUUACUUUCAUUAAGUGAACAAAUUGUGUUCUUCUUUAUAUAUCCAGUUUCUUUGAAUCAGAGACUGUCGUUCCUGAAUUUGCGGAGUGGUUCUGAAUUUAUUCUCAGAAGACACUCGGGUUUUAGCUCACACUUGCAAAACAGUAUUUUCCCAUUUCCUGCACGUAAUUUGGGGAGAUGAGCAAAACAACUCAAGGGGGGAAACACGGGGGUGGGGAUUUGUUCUCCUGGCAUUUGAGAAUGACAAAUUCUAGUCAAGCAUGAAAAUAUGGACAAGGAAACCUUGUAUUCUUUGUAGAUCAGCUUCCCAGAACUGAUUUUUUUUAUUGGUCUUGGAGGCAUGAGUUAUUUCAGAUUAUAGGAAUAUAUAAAAGAGGCUGAAAGGGACAGAGAGGAAGAAAUCACAGAAACAACCCUGCCUUGGGCCACCACUAUGGAUGGUGGGGAUCCUCUUUCAAAGCUGCCUGUUAGUGCCUCUGAGACCCAGCUGAGAAAAAAAAAAAAAAAAAAAAAAGAGAGAGAGAGAGACAAGAGGAGUUAAUUAGGGCAAUUCAAGGGGUUUUAAUUAAGGGUGAGCUAAUAGAGCUUGUGAUGAGAGGAAAUUAAGAAAGAAAAAAUCGACAGUGGAUAACAGCUUCUGAUUUCCUAUGGUGCUGUUGGUUUGAGGGAGGACUAACAGCCGAAGCAUCCUUUGGUAAGAAAUGGGUUUGCAUCUGGGGCCACAUCCUCAUUCCCUGAGUAUGAUGGUGAAUGGUGCAUAGAACAGCAAACCUUGUAUGGUCUCCAAAAGACACAAAAAAAUUGAUUCUUCAGUACUCUUGAGCAUGUGGAGAUGGACUGGCACCCCUUCAGGGGACACCAUGGGUGCACAGCUGCAUGGCAGAACAAAGCAAUCCUCGCCACGGAGGAGCACAGCCGCACGGAGCAGCGCAUGCCUGCUUGCGAUGGGCUUUGCUGCAAAGGAGUCAGAAAAUCCAAGAUGAAAAGGCCCAUUUGCAUUUCUAUUUGUACCGUUUGAUGUUGGCUACCGAGUACAACUGGAACAAGCAGCACUUUAAAUAAUCUAGAAAAAACUAUCUAGCAUCCUGAGCGCUCCUGGAGUUGGCCUUUGUUUUUUUGUGUAUUUUUUUUUUUUUGCUGUUGUUUCGUAGGCAGCUCUGUGCCUGGUAGAGAAAAUGUGAUGGCAGCAUCACUAAGAGCUCAGGUGAGCAAAGCAGUGCUCCCGGAGAACAUGAGCCCAGCAGAUAAUCCGUCCGUCUGUCCAUCCUCCUCCUGGCUCUGUGCUUCUCCUCUCCCAAGGAAACACAACCCGCACGGCUGAAAUCAGAGCAGCCAAGCAGCUUGAGUGAGCCAAAAGCCCAGGGAGGAAAUGUGAUUUUUAUGAAAAACAUUGACUUAAGAAGAUGAUUGUGAGCACUUUGCUGAGUCCCACCUGAUUCACCCCUGUCCAAGGCUUCCUCUGAGCCUGUGCUCAGCAGCACGAUUCACACCCAGCUGGGAAACACGAGCACCGUGUGAUGGAAGGGGUGACUUAAUCACUUUUGCAUACCAUUUUUUUUUCCUGAGUUAAUUAAAAGUAGAAGUGCUCAUGUCAAGCACAGUGCCUCCGUGAGCACCACGUGCUCUUCAGCAACAUGUGGGCAAACAGGACUUAGUGCACUGGCCCAAUUUAGUGCAGAGUUACCAGCGACACCCUUUUUUCCAUCAAAACUGCAAGAUUCUUAAAUGCUUUCAGUAACUCCAGGCUGUUUUAGUGCCUUCCCCAGGUCUCCACCAAAAAGCCAAAUAGAGAAAAACCUCCGUACCCAUCUCACUGCCCUUAGAAGCUCAGAGCCCCUCUUGGUGCUACUGAGCAUAGGAGACUUUACAGCAAUUCUGGCUCCAGGGGAGCUGUCUGGAGUUGGACCUGUUGAAUAGGAAACCCCUAUAGUUCAGCCCUGAAAACAUCCACCUUACAUGCACCAGCAUAAAAGCUAGCUUUUA
rnacentral:lncRNA from 1 species